rnacentral:lncRNA from 10 species
GUUUGCUACAGUGGUGAUUAGAGGUCUCUUAGAGACUGGCACACUAGGCAGCCACCUGGUUGGCCUCCCCUUCAUUCAGUCAGCUCUGCCAUUCAGCUUUCUUCCAGCCUCUGCACAUUACCUGUCCUAGUUCUUGUUUUAUUGUACUGCCACUCAACUUUUCUGAAUCUCCCACUUGGCUGUGUCUCUGUACCUGCUAAAUCAACACAGUUCCUGGCAUACAGGUGCAUUUCAGUGCAUGCUGGUGAGACAGCGAAGGGCUUGAAACAGUCCACAAAAGUUGAUGCAGGAGAGCAGUACAAUCCUUUCUGGAGUGGGACUCAGAGAAAGAUCAUGCAUGUUGAAGUCAUUCCAGCAGCAGUCCAGGGGAGUUGGGGCAGGUAAGAUGGGAUAAGUGCACUCCAACCAUCAUUUCUGUUGGUCAUAACUCCAGGAGAGAAAGUUUAGAACAGCUAUUUGAGGACGGUGAAAAGAAAACAGCAGAAGGAAUAUUGGUGAAGAACACAGAAUUUGAAGUACAUCAAACCAGUAGCCCUGGGCAAACCCACACCUGUAGGGUCAGCAGUCAGUAACGGGACUGACAGGAGCCAAAACUGAGGCAGUGUAAACUUGUUCUUUUUUCAGAAGAACUGUGAUCCCACGGUGGGUGAGACUAGCUUCCAUUGAUAUUUUUGUCUCUCUCUCUUCUACUGCCACUUGGAUCUGAACAUGGGCUACAAACAUAGACGUGUGUAGAACAGAGUAACCAGAACCCCAAUUUGGGGUGGAGGAUCAAAAAGGGGAGCCUCAGGGAACUGAGAGUACCAGGGAGAUUACAGAGAGGGUGGAGCUCAGGGAAGUGACUCCAUACAGUUAUUUAUGAAUUCCAGGGCUCACUUCCAAGCCAUACAUGUUUGGAUCUGGUUUUAAUGAGGAUACCAAGACCUUUGAGAACUGAAGUAAUAGAGAGGUCAUCACCUGGUUCCUAGACUGGCUUCUGGGUGGUGCACACCUGAAAUGGAGACAAAAAGCAGUUUGAAAACUGAGUGGAUGUUGACAUCACAGCGCACAGAAGAAAUAAUGUCUCGCUAUGUUGCCCAGGCUGGACUUCAACUUCUUGGCUCAAGUGAUCCUCCCACCUCAGUCUCUCGAAUAGCUGGGACUAUAGGCAUGGGCCAUUGUGCCCAGUUCAGAGGAACCUUUUCAGAGAGGAUGGUCAGGACAGCCUCUUUGAGCAGGACUAGCCAUAAUUUGAAGAUGCUGGAAAAAAAUAUUCACAGUCUCUGGAAAUCUAGCAAAGUGAUCAGGAUUCUUUCCUUUGGCACUUCAAAGCAGAGUCAACAAAAAAAGCUGGGGGCGUUUUUUUGUGGUUAUAUGUUAAAAGUAAGAAUGAACUUAUACUGUCUUUCUUCCAUUUUUCUUUCCUUAUACCUGGGUUUGGCUGAGCCUGAGAGCAAAGAUUGCCAUUUGGGUUCAGUAGGUUGCUGACAAAUUAAGUAAAGAUUCCCUCAUUUGUGGGUCAGAUGUCUUACAGCCUGGUUUUGGUGAAGCAAAUCUUGGGAGAGUGAAUCUUGUCCACCCUCUGGCUGCUGGCCACAUGGAGAUGUUAGUAAUUGCGGGUCAGGGCAGGUCAGAUCUCCUAAGCCAAAGGUCCAGAGGUAUCAGCGAAUGCAGGGACUACCAGGCAAUUCUUCAUGUCUCAGCCUGGCAAGGAGUUAAUUCCAGAGAAAGCUGCAGGUUCCGUCACUAAUUCAUUGUGUGAUCUUGGGCAAGUUUAUUAUUUGUAAAAUGGGAGUGGAGGUAGGGUAGGGUGUGGGCUGAGCCAGAGUGAUAGCCAUUGCUCUCUUCAGCUUUUAAAUUCCAGUGGGUCAACAAAAAGGAAGCUUCUGAGCAACCUUAAUUGGCAGAGCUGAGGACACAAACAGCAGGAAUAGCUGUAGAGGGAUAUGGCCUGGGUGGAGUUCCUGCAAGCCCAAGGGAUUCCAGGACAGCUAGCAGGAAAAGAAUGGUUAGCGAGG